UGUCAAUCGUUUCCCCAAAAUAACUUUCUGAUACACAAUUGCCAACAAACUGUUUGUUAAAAACCCGGUUGAUUGAUCCGUUGCAUUUCUGCUUGCGUACGCUGGUGAUUGCAUUAAUCGGCACAUUUUUACUAAAUGGCAGACAUCAAACAGCGUCAAGCUACGCACAAAAAGCUUAUUCAAGCACAAAAAUUUUUCCAGGGCGAUAAGCCGAGACACAAACCAACAGCGUCAAGCUACGCACAAAAAGCCUGUUCAAGCACCAAAAAUUCAGACACAAGAAGCGACAUCUAGUAUUUAUCUAAGGAACUAAAAAAAUACAUAAUUUUUUUCUAGCAUUUCUGUACGUAGCAGAGGCACAAACCAAUUUUUUGAGUUUUAAAAGCACCAUCUAGUAACCCAGCUACGCACAAAAAGCCGCUUCAAGCACAAAAAUCCAAUUCAAGCGAAAAAUUGUAAUCAUUAUCGUCAAAAAUAACUUAGAUUGCCAUUAAAUAAAAUUUAAUUAAUUAUGGUAACUCUAAACUAUUAAAA